rnacentral:tRNA from 1 species
GCCUGGGUGGCUCAGUGGGUUGAGCGUCUGACUUCAGCUCAGGUCGUGAUCUCACGGUUCCUGGGCU